UACGUAGGGUGCAAGCGUUAAUCGGAAUUACUGGGCGUAAAGAGCGCGCAGGCGGUCGAUCAAGUCGAGUGUGAAAGCCCCCGGCUCAACUGGGGAGGGUCAUUCGAUACUGAUCGACUCGAAGGCAGGAGAGGGUAGUGGAAUUCCCGGUGUAGUGGUGAAAUGCGUAGAUAUCUGGAGGAACACCAAUGGCGAAGGCAGCUCGCUGGAACGGUACUGACGCUGAGGCGCGAAAGCGUGGGGAGCGAACAGG
rnacentral:rRNA from 1 species